rnacentral:snoRNA from 1 species
UGUCUCUGACCUGGGUAAAGUGGCAUCUGGUUGGUGGCACUUAUCUCAAAUCACACAGACAUAAGGUAACCUCUUGUUUAUCCCAGUUUGGCUUUUCUUACCUUUUUUUUUUUUUAGACAGGGUCUCACUCUUGUCACCCAGGCUACAGUGCCUUAGUGUGAUCA